GACGUAGGGGGCGAGCGUUGUCCGGAUUUAUUGGGCGUAAAGCGCGCGUAGGCGGUUCGUUAAGUCGGAUGUGAAAAUCCGGGGCUCAACCCCGGACCUGCAUCCGAUACUGGCGGACUGGAGGCAGGCAGGGGAGAUCGGAAUUCCUGGUGUAGCGGUGAAAUGCGCAGAUAUCAGGAGGAACACCGGUGGCGAAGGCGGCCUGCUGGGCAGUAGCUGACGCUGAGGCGCGACAGCGUGUGGAGCAAACAGG
rnacentral:rRNA from 1 species